rnacentral:lncRNA from 1 species
CUGAGGCUACUUGAAGAAGAAGAGCGCUAAGGUCCAGCAUGACCGGGCAAAAUUGGCCAUUUUAAAGUCUUUGCUCCGUUCCCGUUAUACGACAACGAGCAAAGAGGGGCAGCUGUAAUACCCAAUUUUAGCCCGGGCCUAAAUAAACAAAGGUGCCCAGUCCAUUUAAAAUCUUAAUUUACGUGGCCCAAUUACAAAUGUUACAAGCCCAAAUUGCUAACCCUAUUCUGCUAGUCCAAAAUACAAAACAGAGGCAGAAAGAAACCCUAGCAGCUAGCAGCAAAAUCAGCAGCCACACCCCACACACGUCGUAAUAACCGUCGCACGUUCUUCUUCCACGCCGCGCACAAUGCCCGUACCUGCAACAAAAAGAACCACGAGCAGCAAGCAAAAAAAACCAAAAAUAUAGCAAUUUGUAAAGAUAUUUGGCUAUAAAAAGCCAAUUGAUUUAUGUAAUAGGGGUUAGCAAAAUUUUUUUUUGUACCGAAAUCAAAAAGAAAAAAUAGAGAAAAAUAUAUUUGAAGGUGGGAUUUGGUUUUAUUUUUCUCUAUUCCUUUACUUUUUUUUAAUUUAUUUUAGUUCUUUUCUUUUGCUUCUAAAAAACAAUAAAUAAACAAAACGAGGAAGGGAGUAAAGGGAACUUACCGGUGUGGCGUCGUUGAAGCUCCUUUGUUUCAUCGCCAUAGGAACAGAGGAGGGCAGAAGGAGAGCAUUACGGCG